rnacentral:rRNA from 1 species
AGAGUUUGAUCCUGGCUCAGGAUGAACGCCGGCGGCGUGCCUAACACAUGCAAGUCGAGCGAGAAGCUGAUGACAGAUACUUCGGUUGAAGGAGUCAGUGGAAAGCGGCGACGGGUGAGUAACGCGUAGGCAACCUGCCCUUUGCACAGGGAUAGCCAUUGGAAACGAUGAUUAAAACCUGAUAACACCAUUUGGUUACAUGAGCAGAUGGUCAAAGAUUUAUCGGCAAAGGAUGGGCCUGCGUCUGAUUAGCUAGUUGGUAAGGUAACGGCUUACCAAGGCGACGAUCAGUAGCCGACCUGAGACGGGUGAACGGCCACAUUGGAACUGAGACACGGUCCAAACUCCUACGGGAGGCAGCAGUGGGGAAUAUUGCACAAUGGGCGAAAGCCUGAUGCAGCAACGCCGCGUGAAGGAAGAAGGCCUUCGGGUCGUAAACUUCUGUCCUUGGGGAAGAAGAACUGACGGUACCCAAGGAGGAAGCCCCGGCUAACUACGUG